AAAGAAACAGAAGAAAAACCGGCCAAACCAGCUCUAAACUGGGUUGGACCUUUUUUUUCCACUCCAAACCGCUGAAAAUCGGACUGGAUCGAGUAUUUUAAUUAUAUUAUUAAUUAAACAAAAUAAUACACGUGUUAGCGGAUGAUUAGUGGAUUCAUUGGCAUAUCGUACUCCUUCCUACACCAGAUUAUGCAAAACCCUAACAUCUGAAGGGCUUCGAAAUGUUUUCUAAUUGCGCCUCUUUCUUCUUCCUCUGUCACCCGACUCUCUCGCCUCUGCCUCUCUCAAUCACUCUCACCUGAGUCGCCUCUUCCUCUUUUUUUAUUUUUUAUUUUUUCCAAAUUUUCUCAACCAAUCUCUCACUCUCUCUCUCUGUCGCUCCCUCUCUCACCCGCUCUCUCUCAUAACUCGCCUCUCUAGCCUCUGCCUCUCUCAGUGACUCUCACUCAAGUUCCUCUUCUUCUUUUUUCCAGAUUUUCUCACCCGAUCUCUCAGGCACUCAGUCUCUCAGUCACUCUUUGUGUCACCCGCUCUCUCUCAGUCACUCACUCUCUCUCACACCCGCUCUGACUCUCGUCCCUCGUUUCCUGUCUCCCUCAACCAGUUUCUACAUGGUUCUCUCUCAACCACUCUUGCUCUCUGUCAGUCGCUCUCUCUCAGUCAUUCUCAGUCUCCCUCUCUCGAUUUUGGUCGGUUUGAGGUAUGAAUAUGUGUAAACCCUAAUUAAAAAAUUUAGGGAUUUGACAAUUUUUGAUAAUUCUAUUUAUAUCAUCUGACUCUGUUGUGAUUUUUUGUGGACAGAAUUGAUUUUGGGAUCAUAGGAAACAAUUGGCUGCUCUAGGUAAUUUCUGUUGUUGUUGCUGUUUGAUUUAUCAUUUAUUUCUGGUGGUGGUGUUGUAAUUUCUGGUAAUAUCUACGAUCAUAGAAUUGAUUUUGGGACAGAAGUGAUUUUUUGUUGCUGUUUCAUUUAUUUCUGGAGUUGCUGUUUGAUUUUUUGUUUCAUUUAAUUUCUGUUUUUGUUGCUGCCCUGUUUAAUUUAUUUGUUAUUUGUGGUUGCUUUUUUAUUUGUAGCUUAGACACAUAAAUUAUUUAUGUUAGAUAUUGAGUAAUAACAUGAUUUCAUUUCGGAUUUUGAAAAAUUGCAUCAUUCACUAAUGUGAUUUGGCAGAUAUUGAGUAAUAAUUUAAGUUUUAUGAUCAUUUGUAUUUUGGUUUUCUUUCUUUUCUACAUUAAUCAAAAUUUGUAGUUUCUUUGUGUUAUUAAUUCAUACAUUUACUAACUGUUUUUUUUCUUUGUGCAGAGGUGCAAAUUUGAUUUGAGGAGUAUGAAACUCAUGGAAUUAUAUGUGUAUAUGUAAUGGAAAUUUAUUUGUUUUCAUUUGGAUUCUCUUUUGAACUUUACAAAUAUGCAGAUUGUGAUUGAGAUUACUCUCACAAUCUGCAUUGGUCUGUAAUAAUUAUUGGAUUAUUUGGACAUGGGUGGAUGAUGAUUUUCUUAGGUUUUAAGGGUUAUUUUAGUAUUUGAAUGAUGAUAAACUUUAUAUAUGCAAAGCUGGAGAAUUAGGAAAAACAGAAUGGGCCUGGAAAACUUUAUUUAAAAAAAGAAAAAGAAUGGGCCUAGAAAACUUUUUUUUAAAAAAACACUUUCAAUUGUUGCUUUAGUUGGGCCUCGGCAUACAUUCGAACCGAACCAACCCAACCCGCC
rnacentral:lncRNA from 1 species